rnacentral:rRNA from 1 species
CCUACGGGCGACAGCAGUAGGGAAUUUUCGGCAAUGGGGGGAACCCUGACCGAGCAACGCCGCGUGAACGAAGAAGUUAUUCGUAAUGUAAAGUUCUUUUAACAGGGAAGAAAGAGAAAUUUGACGGUACCUGAAGAAUAAGCUCCGGCUAACUACGUGCCAGCAGCCGCGGUAAUACGUAGGGAGCGAGCGUUAUCCGGAAUUAUUGGGCGAAAAGGGUUCGUAGAUGGCAUAGUAAGUCUUUUGUAAAAAUGCUGGGCUAAACCCAGUAGGGCAAAAGAUACUGCAAAGCUAGAGUAUGACAGAGGCAAGUGGAACUACAUGUGUAGCGGUAAAAUGCGUAAAUAUAUGGAAGAACACCAGUGGCGAAGGCGGCUUGCUGGGUCGAUACUGACAUUGAGGCACGAAAGCGUGGGGAGCAAACAGGAUUAGAUACCCCAGUAGUC